rnacentral:rRNA from 1 species
UUAGAUACCCUAUUAUUGAAUUUAAUUUUUGGUAGUAAUUGUUUUACAAGAAACCAAAUUUUAUUGGCGGCUUUUAAAUUAUAUUAGAGGAAUUUAUUUGAUAAAGGAUAUAACACCAAAAUCUUACUUUUUUUUGUAAAUCAGUUUGUAUACCGCUAUUUAUAUAUAAAAGGAUUUAUAUAGUAUUUUCUUAUUGAAAAGAAAUGUUUUAGGUUAAGGUGCAGCUUAUGAAAAAGUUAAAAAUAAAUUAUAUUAAUAAGAUUUUAACGAUAUUAUUAAACGAUAAGUAUACAAAUAAUUUAGGAAAAUUUAAAAGUAAAAUUUAUAUAUGAUGUAAAUUUGAAUUUAUAAUUAAGAGUGUACAUAUUGCCCGUCAUUCUCUAGGAGAUAAGUCGUA